rnacentral:lncRNA from 1 species
GUUUGCAUAUGUUCUGUGACCAGCAGAAAACCUGCAGAGGCCUACAUAAUUACAUUCUUAACCAAGGUUUUGAAUAUCCAUGAGAUAGGGCAUCCCACCAUCUCCAGUGUUGGGACAGGGCGCUGUCCUGAGUGUCAAAGCAGGACAACCGGCAUCCAAGUGUUGGGACACAAGGUGUCUCAUUCCAAAAAAAAUACCUGGGGUGGCCCCAUCCCACAGCAUGUAAAACCUUGUUAUUAACCGAUGCAACUUUGGCAACAACGGUUCCACCAUGAGACCUAAAAGACUAGUUGAACAGUAAAGGCCUAAUUGUUGAUUAUGAAAUUCAUACUCAUACAACUGAGAAGCAACCUUUAAGGUUCUUAAACUUGAAGAGAGUCUACUGCUAGAG